CCAGCCGCCUACACGCCCCAGCAGCCUGUGGGCUUGCGAUGGGCAGGAACCAGCUCCAAGGCUGCUGGGGCCUGUAGUCUGGGGAGCAGCCGGGCGCCUCGCAGUAGAGAGGACUGAAGACGCCCUGCCCGACCCAACAUCAGGCUGGCCCUAGAUAGGGUCCGCCCCUGAUGGAGUGACUGAUCCCCAUCCCCAGCCUGCCCUCCACCACUCCUUCAGCAGACAGAGCAGCAUCUCAGGCCUAGCACUAGGCUUUGCAAGGCCCCAUGCAGCCAGCUCUCUCUCCAUCUAAGUUACAGAAAAUAUCUAUGCAGCAAAUGGAGGAGCAUCCCUCCGCUGGAAAGUGAUAUAACACUUGCCAAGCAAGCUGUUAUUGAAGGAGAGAAGGUGACAGCUUCAUUCUCUUCCUCUGUGUGCUGUCCAUGCUGCUUCUGCUAUUGCUCCUUCUGUUGCCGCUAUACUGUCUCUGCUUUAUUCCCCGGGACAUUGAAAACAGUACAGUAACUGCCUCUAUUUGCUGCACUGCGGGCAGAGCUUAAAACCAGGAUUUAUUCUGGCAUGAACCUUGACCUCUAUAAAAAAAAAUGGACCCAGACUGUGCUCAUCUCUCUCUUGGCUGAAGUGGCAAUAUGAAAACAUUUUCUCUAUGCUCUGAGUCCGACAACACUUUAUGGUCUCUCUCUUAAAUAUAAUGAAUGAACAUUGUCACCUAAUGAAGUCAUCUCAAAGAUUUAAUUUCCCAUUAAAACUAAUGGUGUUAAAAAAAAUUAAAAAAAAAAAAUAGAGAGAGAGAGAACCUCACAUCCAAUCCGUUUUUUGUUUCUGGGUGCAGGAGGAGCAGAGGUGUCCAGCUCUGCUUUGAUGUAUAUCAGAUGCAUUGUCCUGGGAACAUCCCUGCAAGAUUCCUAAACAGAAGUUUGAAACAACUACAGGAGGGAGUGCUCCAAUGAUUCCCUCCCAGAUUUUGCAGUGAGCCUGGUGACUGCCAAGAAAGGACUUUGGGAGUGUGGUCAGUGCUAUGUGAAUAUGCAUAUUGCACAACACAGCCUAAAGUUGAUGUGCCUCACUAGCAAGUCUCAUUGCCUUAAUUUAAGGAGCUUCCCAGUAACCUAGGGUAGAAGAGUUUUCAGAUACCAGUUCGCAGGGCAAGGAAUUAUUGGAAGAACAGGUGUUAUAGAAGUAUUUCCCUAGUACCAAGGAAUAGAAUAGUCCUCAGACAACCCCCAAGUACUUUAUUAACAUGAAUCAAGCCUCAGACUAAAGCUCCAAGUCCCAUUCAUUCCACAAUUCUGUGGUCGAAGAAUUUGACACAGAAUCUAUCCCUUGCUGAAAAACUGUGCUCCCGAUUUUUUUUCAGUUGAAAUGAAGUGGCCACAAAAUAUUUUUCAUCCUAUCUAAUUUAAAUGUGGCUGUUCCUGUUAGCCAUAUAAAUGUACAGUCUUUUUCUGAAUCCUACUAAAUUCUUGGUCUUGAUAUCUUCUGUUAUUGAUUUCCACACGUUAAUUAUAUGCAAUAUUAAAAUGUAUUUCCUUUUAGACUUUUUUUUUGCCAUUAAAUUUCAUUGGCUAUCGCUUGUUCACAUGUGCUUUAUCUAUUUUAUGUAUAAUUUAGUAUAGCUCUAUCAUGUCACCUCUGAUUCCUCUCUUUUCUAAAUAGUCCCAAUUGUUUCUCUCUCUUGUCAAAUGGAAGAGAUUAUUAAUAUUUUCCUUCUUAGUCACUGAUCCCGACCUCUAUUUCUGCAAAAAUAGUGUGAUUAACUUUUUUCAAAAAGUGGGGGGAAUCACUUUAACGACAGUCUAAAAUUACUAGAUAUUUUGAUAAUCUUACCAUUUCAUAUACAGGAUUGCUAAGCAGUCACAAAUGGGAAGGGAGAUGAUCUGUGCCAUUAUGAAUGAGAGUGUAAGUGGUCCAUGAGUCACUCUAUUACAGCAUGGCUCACCCUAUGAAAAUGUUUGAGAACUGCUGAUUUAAGUAAGAGAGCAUUAGGGCAUCACUGGUUCAGGUAGCUACCAUAGAUAAGCACAUUAGCAGGAUGUUUCUGAAAUAUUAAUAUUUAAAUAGUAGUAAUAAGGUUUCAAAGUUGAUGCCCUUCUGAGACAAAUGAAGGAGUUCACACCUCCCUGUGAUGCUUUUUAGUCCUUCUGGAGGCAGACUCAGAAAGGCAAGACAAUGCAAACUUUGGAUAAUCAAGGCUUUGGACUCUUUAUUUAAAGCCUGCAGAGCCUCUAUCCCUGUGGCCUGGGCUAAGGCCUGCUGAGUUCAGAAGCGAUGAUGGGAGGAACCAGGAGGAGAGGUUGAAGCUGCCUGAAGCACUCUUUCCUCCUCCCGACUACUCUAUCUGGUACAGAUUUCUAUGCAGAAGCCCUUAGGUGUAAAAAAAGGCUUAAUCUAGGUCAUGUCCUUUUCCUGCCACUCCCUUUUCCUCAUUGAGAUGAGCCAGUUGGCUACUUCCAUUGUCCAGGCCAUACUUUUCUGACCAUGUAGAUGACAGGGGCUUUUGGAUAAUUGAUGGUUGGAUAUACUGCAUUAUUUAUUCUGCAGUGAAGAGACUCUAUUAUAUUAGUUAUACUGUACUGCAUUAGUUCACACUCUGUAAUCAGUCUUCACAAGCAGAAAGUAGAGGAAGUGAUUUUUUUCAAAUGAAGGCGUAGAAGCUGGAAAAUCAUUCAUUCAUUGAAAUAUCCUAAGUCUGCCAAACUUGUAGAUUCCUUGUGUGCUUAUAUUUCAAAUCCUACUUAUGUCUUUAUGAUUCUGAAAACAAAAAAGCAGAAUAAUAACUCUUCAGAAGUAGAAUAUACUACACCCCUACAUUAAUUACUGCUUAAAAGAUGGGACAGCUUGCUCCUCUCCAGUGUGUCAGCUCAAUACUUUUCAAAGAGUUUUCCUCAACAAAAGUCAAUGCUGUCCAUUUAUAAUAAUCACUAACAUUUUACAGAGAAGGGAGGCUUCCUUCAUAUUUUAUUCUUGUAAUGAUUAAGAUAGGAAGAAAGACUCAUUCAGAAUGAGAAUUUGAGAAGGGUUUUCUUUAUCUUCAUAAGUUUUCUACCAGCAACUUUCAACAAGUCCUCUGCAUGUCUGCACUACCAAUAUAAUCUGUAGUGUUGCUUUUUCUCUUCAACUGAAUGUAGCAAAAGUUCAGUAUUUUCCUUUAUAUAUGGAGCUUAAGCUGAUUCUUUAUCCAGAUAUUUUACUACAUCUGUCCUAGUUUCACUAAUUCUAUAGAAUAAGAAGUAGAAAACUAGUUUUGAAUAGUCAAAUAAAAAUUUAAGACUGUGGUAAUCAAAUGCCUCUGGGGAAUUUAUAUAAAGCUAUGAAACAAAAAGGCACACUAACUCAUGUACAUUUUAAUCUCUUUAGCUUUUCAAGGAGACUCAUUUAUUAACUUGACAUGAAUCUGUUACCUUCCUACAGGGAGAAUGAGAAGUCAUCUAUAAAACUGAGAAACUUUCCAGUUAACUCUAAUUUUACCUUCACAGCUUUACCAUAAAAAUCCCAUGUUACAGCUAUAUACCAUUUCUACAACCCAUGUAAAUUGGACAGGAGUCUCUGUAGCUUGUCAGUGCCACAGGAUGCCAAUGUUAAAGGAGGAGUCACUGGUGAGCAGCACAGACACUCACUCCCUCAACAAGAGCUGCCGCUGGCCAGUGAGUUAAUUUGUCUCCUGCAUGGCAACAAAAUAUUAUCACUUGGCAAACCAUGAAUUGAUGGUGCCUUUUGUAUACGUCAAAACAGACUGAACUACUUUCACACACCAGUUGUUAACACUUCAUUUGUUUCAGAGUAACAGCCGUGUUAGUCUGUAUUCGCGAAAAGAAAAGGAGGACUUGUG